rnacentral:rRNA from 1 species
AGUUUGAUCCUGGCUCAGGAUGAACGCUGGCGGCGUGCCUAAUACAUGCAAGUCGAACGAAUCUCUUUUAGAGAUGAGUGGCGAACGGGUGAGUAAUACAUAGGUAACCUGCCCCUGUGCGGGGGAUAACAGGAGGAAACUCCUGCUAAUACCGCAUAGCCAUGAGCACCGCAUGGAGCUCAUGCCAAAUAUCCUUUCGGGGAUAGCGCAGGGAUGGACCUAUGGCGCAUUAGCUGGUUGGCGGGGCAACGGCCCACCAAGGCAACGAUGCGUAGCCGGCCUGAGAGGGCGGACGGCCACAUUGGGACUGAGACACGGCCCAGACUCCUACGGGAGGCAGCAGUAGGGAAUUUUCGGCAAUGGGGGAAACCCUGACCGAGCAACGCCGCGUGAGCGAAGAAGGCCUUCGGGUCGUAAAGCUCUGUUGUAAAGGAAGAACGGCGCAUACAGGAAAUGGUAUGCGAGUGACGGUACUUUACCAGAAAGCCACGGCUAACUACGUGCCAGCAGCCGCGGUAAUACGUAGGUGGCGAGCGUUAUCCGGAAUCAUUGGGCGUAAAGAGGGAGCAGGCGGCCGCAAGGGUCUGUGGUGAAAGACCGAAGCUAAACUUCGGUAAGCCAUGGAAACCGGGCGGCUAGAGUGCGGAAGAGGAUCGUGGAAUUCCAUGUGUAGCGGUGAAAUGCGUAGAUAUAUGGAGGAACACCAGUGGCGAAGGCGACGGUCUGGGCCGCAACUGACGCUCAUUCCCGAAAGCGUGGGGAGCAAAUAGGAUUAGAUACCCUAGUAGUCCACGCCGUAAACGAUGGUCACUAAGUGUCGGGGGUCAAACCCCGGUGCUGCAGUCAACGCAAUAAGUGACCCGCCUGAGUAGUACGUUCGCAAGAAUGAAACUCAAAGGAAUUGACGGAAGG